rnacentral:tRNA from 1 species
GCGGGGGUGGCAGAGUGGCCAAAUGCGAUAGGUUCAGGGCCUAUUCCCUUAGUGGGUACGAGGGUUCGAAUAUGUUCGACAGGUCGAUCAGACCGAGCGAGCAGCGAGAGUCCCUUCCCCCGCA